rnacentral:rRNA from 1 species
GGGUUGUGAGGUUAAGCGACUAAGCGUACACGGUGGAUGCCCUGGCAGUCAGAGGCGAUGAAGGACGUGCUAAUCUGCGAUAAGCGUCGGUAAGGUGAUAUGAACCGUUAUAACCGGCGAUUUCCGAAUGGGGAAACCCAGUGUGUUUCGACACACUAUCAUUAACUGAAUCCAUAGGUUAAUGAGGCGAACCGGGGGAACUGAAACAUCUAAGUACCCCGAGGAAAAGAAAUCAACCGAGAUUCCCCCAGUAGCGGCGAGCGAACGGGGAGCAGCCCAGAGCCUGAAUCAGUGUGUGUGUUAGUGGAAGCGUCUGGAAAGGCGCGCGAUACAGGGUGACAGCCCCGUACACAAAAAUACACAUACUGUGAGCUCGAUGAGUAGGGCGGGACACGUGGUAUCCUGUCUGAAUAUGGGGGGACCAUCCUCCAAGGCUAAAUACUCCUGACUGACCGAUAGUGAACCAGUACCGUGAGGGAAAGGCGAAAAGAACCCCGGCGAGGGGAGUGAAAAAGAACCUGAAACCGUGUACGUACAAGCAGUGGGAGCACAGAGCAAUC